AGGCAGGAGCACUGAGUGGGCACAGGUGGACUCCUGGCACCUCCUUAGCAAGCUUCUUAGGGUGCACCAUGCUUUAAAGUUUCCGAGGCGUUGUCACCCCCUCCACCCAGACUUACAGUUGUGUUGAAUAAAACGACAGCAGCCCAACAUAGAAACCUGGGGUCGCUCACAGGCCCCCAGCCCCCAGGCUCUGUUGGAAGCUCCCCCGUGUGGGCAGGAGGAGGCAGAUGCAGACGUGCACCUGACAGAGAGGGGACGGGGGACCAGCCCUGGCGGAAGACUGGGCAGCAGCACAACGGAGGGCCCACCCCACCCGCCCCAGGUCACCAGCGCCCCAGGCCACCCGGACCAAACAGCACAACACACCGGGCAGAGAGGGGACGGGGGACCAGCCCUGGCGGAAGACUGGGCAGCAGCACAACGGAGGGCCCACCCCACCCGCCCCAGGUCACCAGCGCCCCAGGCCACCCGGACCAAACAGCACAACAGACAAGUUGAAUCAAAGAAGCAAGCUGCAGGAGGGCGCUUAGACGGAAACCCUUUCACAGAAGGUUCAAGAGUAUCGCCCAGGCUGGGUCCAUCCCCAGCCCCAUUUGCAAGGACUUGACCCGGGCCAGGGUCCCACUGGGUGGGGUGCCAAGGAGGAAGGAGGACUGGGAGAUGGGCCCACCCUGGGCCGGGGGAGGGGACACUUGCAGGGCGGGAGGAGGAAGAGGAGCCAGGCGCUUCCCGAGGAGGAAGCGGUGCCUGGAUUUUCCCCAGGUGUGGCCGCAGGUAUAAAGGGCACCAGGAGCCGGCAGCAGCCGGGGCAGCCGCCAGGGCACACGCGCUCAGAGCCCAGCCGCCGCCACGAUGGUGAGCUUCCUGCCCCGCGCCCUGCCGGGACGGUGCCCCUGGCCCUGAGCGGUUGCUGGUUGGCUGAUCUCCGGGCUGAGGAUGUUGGGAGAAGGCUCAGGAAGGCCUUCAACGUUGGGAGAAACGGGAGCCAGGACCCAGGAGCCCGGCUCUCUCCUGGCCUCCUGCUUCUGGCCUGGCUGCCCGCCUGCCUGGCUCGCCACAGCCCCCAACCCCGGGCGGGCGCCCCG
rnacentral:lncRNA from 1 species